UACGGAGGGGGCAAGCGUUGUUCGGAGUUACUGGGCGUAAAGGGCGCGUAGGCGGUGCGACAAGUCAGGCGUGAAAGCCCCGGGCUUAACCUGGGAAUUGCGCUUGAUACUGUCGCGCUAGAGAUCGGGAGAGGAGUGGCGGAAUUCCCAGUGUAGAGGUGAAAUUCGUAGAUAUUGGGAAGAACACCGGUGGCGAAGGCGGCCAUCUGGACCGCAGUCUGACGCUGAGGCGCGAAAGCGUGGGGAGCAAACAGGGAUUAAGAAAACCCCCGUGGUA
rnacentral:rRNA from 1 species